GAUGAACGCUGGCGGCGUGCUUAACACAUGCAAGUCGAACGAAGCACUUUAUUUGAUUUCCUUCGGGACUGAUUAUUUUGUGACUGAGUGGCGGACGGGUGAGUAACGCGUGGGUAACCUGCCUUGUACAGGGGGAUAACAGUUGGAAACGGCUGCUAAUACCGCAUAAGCGCACAGCAUCGCAUGAUGCAGUGUGAAAAACUCCGGUGGUAUAAGAUGGACCCGCGUUGGAUUAGCUAGUUGGUGAGGUAACGGCCCACCAAGGCGACGAUCCAUAGCCGACCUGAGAGGGUGACCGGCCACAUUGGGACUGAGACACGGCCCAAACUCCUACGGGAGGCAGCAGUGGGAAAUAUUGCACAAUGGGCGAAAGCCUGAUGCAGCGACGCCGCGUGAGCGAAGAAGUAUUUCGGUAUGUAAAGCUCUAUCAGCAGGGAAGAUAAUGACGGUACCUGACUAAGAAGCACCGGCUAAAUACGUG
rnacentral:rRNA from 1 species